UACGUAGGGAGCAAGCGUUGUCCGGAAUCAUUGGGCGUAAAGCGCGCGUAGGUGGCCCCAUAAGUCCGCUGUGAAAGUCAAAGGCUCAACCUUUGAAAGCCGGUGGAUACUGUGGGACUAGAGUACGGAAGAGGCGAGUGGAAUUCCUGGUGUAGCGGUGGAAUGCGCAGAUAUCAGGAGGAACACCAAUAGCGAAGGCAGCUCGCUGGGACGUUACUGACACUGAGGCGCGAAAGCGUGGGGAGCGAACAGGAUUAGAUACCC
rnacentral:rRNA from 1 species